rnacentral:SRP_RNA from 1 species
ACAGGGCAUGGUGAUGCAUGUUUGUAGUCCCUGCCACUGGGGAUGCUGAGACUGGCUGGUGGAUCUCUUGAGCUUAGGAGUUCUGAGUUGCAAUGAGCUAAACAGAUUAGGUGCAUGCACUAAUCUGGCACUAAUAUGGUGAGCCCCUGGGAGCAGAGGGACACCAGGUUGCCUAAGAAAGAAUAAAGAUCAACUGUCCCAGGUCACAAAUAGAGCCAGUCAAAGUUCUGGAGCCAAUCAAUAAACCUUGGUGUAGUCACUGCAUUUACAGGCUGAAUUCUAUAGGGAGACUCAGUUUGUU